UGACCCCACGGCGCCAGGCAGCCUCGUGGCUUCCCAGGCCUGGCCGCCAUACGCCGGCCCACCGGCCGCUUCCAACCACCCCAGGAGCACAACCUCUUAGGGCGUUCCAACGCGGCGCCCCCUA
ensembl:misc_RNA